rnacentral:rRNA from 1 species
UACGGAGGGUGCAAGCGUUAUCCGGAUUCACUGGGUUUAAAGGGUGUGUAGGUGGGCAGAUAAGUCAGUGGUGAAAUCCCCGAGCUUAACUUGGGAACUGCCAUUGAUACUAUUUGUCUUGAAUGUCGUGGAGGUGAGCGGAAUAUGUCAUGUAGCGGUGAAAUGCUUAGAUAUGACAUAGAACACCAAUUGCGAAGGCAGCUCGCUACACAUAUAUUGACUCUGAGGCACGAAAGCGUGGGGAUCAAACAGG